rnacentral:rRNA from 1 species
CCGCCUGGGAAGUACGGCCCGCAAGGCUGAAACUUAAAAGGAAUUNGGCGGGGGAGCNCUNCAACGGGUGGAGCCUGCGGUUUAAUUGGAUUCAACGCCGGGAAGCUUACCGGGGGAGACAGCGGGNUGNAGGUCGGGCUGAAGUCCCUACCAGACUAGCUGAGAGGUGGUGCAUGGCCGCCGUCAGUUCGUACUNUGAAGCAUCCUGUUAAGUCAGGCNACGAGCGAGGCCCGCGCCCUCAGUUGCCAGCGGAUUNCUUUUGUGAUGCCGGGCACACUGGGGGGACUGCCGGCGCUAAGCCGGAGGAAGGUGCGGGCAACGGCAGGUCCGUAUGCCCCGAAUCCCCCGGGCUACACGCGGGCUACAAUGGCCGGNUCAAUGGCNUACCGACCCCGACNGGGAUNGGUAAUCUCCUAAACCCGGUCUAACCUGGGAUCNGAGGGCUGCAACUUCGCCCUCGUGAACCUGGAAUCCGUAGUAAUNCGAGCCUCAAAAUGGCGCCGNGAAUA